GAUGAACGCUGGCGGCGUGCCUAAUACAUGCAAGUGAAACGGCUAUGAUAGCAAUAUUGUAGCAGUCGCGAACGGGUGAGUAAUACAUAGGUAACCUGCCUUUAUGUGGGGGAUAACCGGGGGAAACUCUGACUAAUACCGCAUAAAAGACUCUAGGCAUCUAGAGAGAAUAAAAGUUGGAAUACAACGCAUAAAGAUGGACUUAUGGCGCAUUAGCUAGUUGGUGGGGUAGUGGCCCACCAAGGUGACGAUGCGUAGCCGGCCUGAGAGGGUGAACGGCCACAUUGGGACUGAGACACGGCCCAAACUCCUACGGGAGGCAGCAGUAGGGAAUUUUCGGCAAUGGGGGAAACCCUGACCGAGCAACGCCGCGUGAAUGAUGACGGC
rnacentral:rRNA from 1 species